GACGAACGCUGGCGGCGUGCUUAACACAUGCAAGUCGAACGGUAAGGCCCUUCGGGGUACACGAGUGGCGAACGGGUGAGUAACACGUGGGUGAUCUGCCCUGCACUUCGGGAUAAGCCUGGGAAACUGGGUCUAAUACCGGAUAGGACUCCGGACUGCAUGGGCGGGGGUGGAAAGCUUUUGCGGUGUGGGAUGGGCCCGCGGCCUAUCAGCUUGUUGGUGGGGUGAUGGCCUACCAAGGCGACGACGGGUAGCCGGCCUGAGAGGGUGACCGGCCACACUGGGACUGAGAUACGGCCCAGACUCCUACGGGAGGCAGCAGUGGGGAAUAUUGCACAAUGGGCGCAAGCCUGAUGCAGCGACGCCGCGUGAGGGAUGACGGCCUUCGGGUUGUAAACCUCUUUCAGCAUCGACGAAGCGAAAGUGACGGUAGGUGCAGAAGAAGGACCGGCCAACUACGUGCCAGCAGCCGCCGUGA
rnacentral:rRNA from 1 species